AAGUCGUAACAAGGUUUCCGUAGGUGAACCUGCGGAAGGAUCAUUGACAAAUCUUUAAACAGGCGGCAUGCGCACAUUCAUUGUGUGCAUGUUUGCCGCAUUCUAACCUGUGAAUGGCAGCGCACCAGCAACUGGUGUCGCUGUGCAGUGCGUGUUGCAGGCAAGCGCAAGCUAGCUUUGCACACACACGCAUAACAAACGUAACCAAUUGUCUUACAAACAAACAAACAAAAACAACUUUUAGCAAUGGAUCUCUUGGCUUCU
rnacentral:misc_RNA from 1 species